rnacentral:lncRNA from 1 species
GAAGUGGGAGGAGGGGACAGCGCCAGAGAACAGCCAUGUUGCACUGCAGCACAGUGCAAGGCAGGUCCACAUGCAAACUCACAGUGGGACUGGGGUCCUUUGGCACUGAAACCCAGCUUCAGGUGCUUCUCAUGGACACAGGGAUUUAAUUAAACCUGUGGUGGGUUAAAUAAUACCACAUUAGUGCUUUGUUUUGGAGUACUACAGAUCUUUCAGGCUGAGGAGCCACACUGGUAUGUUCCACUUGAGGAUAUGGCCUUUAAAACUCCACUCUCUUAUCACAGUCUUGUAACCAAAUAGCAACCUAAAAGCUGAUAGAGCAACUUUCCUGGCUACUGCGUGCACUUUUUUUUUUUUGAUAUCUCAGUACUAGGAUUUCAUUCUAUUCACCGGAAAAUCCUCCAGCAACUUAAAAAGGACAGGAAACCUUAGGAAAAUAAUCCUUGCUGGAAAACCAAAACUUCCCUUCCAUUAUCACUGCUUGCUGACAGCAGCAUGGCUGAAAGGGCUGCAGGAGGACUUACCCUAUCCCCACCAGGCCAGGUUACACUGCUGUCCUGUUUCCCCUGCCACUACUGUCCAGGACAGGCAUGUUGACAGCAGAAAUCCCUGCGUUGGAGAACAAAUGUGGACCAGAGCUCAAAGAAAGCCCAUGCGUGGUGAAUAAUGAAGAUGUGCUGAUUGCUGACUGCAUGGGGCUGCUUACGCAGAAAGGCACAGCAGCUUCUGAAAACCGAAGACCACACCACCAAAUUCUGCUCUUUGGUGGCCACAUGCACCUUCUUUUAUUACCUCUGCACUCCAGGUGAUGAUGCCCUGGCCAAAAGCCCAUCGGCCUCCAAGCAGGCCAGAUUCAGACUGAUGUUACCAGGAGCAACUCUAUUGACUUCUGCAAGGUUUUACUCAAUUACGCCGUGUAAAUGACGGGACACUGAAAAUAGCCCAAGAAACCAGAUUUUCAAAAUAAUCAACUGGCGUUUUCUGAAAAAAAAAGAAAAGAAAAUAAAAGUACAGCCAUCCUGCA